rnacentral:lncRNA from 1 species
UUGAAUUUUUCAAAAGCAUUUGCCUGAGUUAACUAGACUUUAUUUUUCACUGGUUUGUUUUUUAUCAGUGUGUUGUACAGAGUGAAUGGCCUCGGACCUUCAAUGGCUGUGCACUGCUUUCUCAGGACUUUCCCUCGGAGGGAAGCACUGACCCCUAUCUCUUUCCCUUUUCUCCACCCUUAGAGCUCAGAGAUAUCAAGAGGCAAAGCGGGGAAAGGAUGCAGUAA